rnacentral:lncRNA from 1 species
UAGCACGCAGUGUCAAAAAACAAUCGUCUUUCAUCGUUCACAUGGAUUCAGAGUUAUCAGUUUAGUUUACAGAGUCAAUAUGAGUUUGUAAAUCUCGAUGACAAAAAAAGGAUCAUUUUGAAAACAAUAAGAAUAACAUUAUAAUAGAUAAUGUUAUUUUUAAUAUAUAUAUAAAUAUAUAUAUAAAUAUGUAAUAUUAUUUGAAAAGUAAAU